rnacentral:rRNA from 1 species
UACGUAGGAUGCGAGCGUUGUCCGGAUUUAUUGGGCGUAAAGCGAACGUAGGCGGUUUCUUAAGUUUGGUCUUAAAGACCGAGGCUCAACCUCGGGAGUGGACUGAAUACUGGGAGACUAGAGGAUGUUAGAGGAAAGUGGAAUUCCAAGUGUAGCGGUGAAAUGCGUAGAUAUUUGGAGGAACACCAGUGGCGAAGGCGGCGUCCUGGCCUGCGACUGACGCUGUGGCGCGAAAGCUAGGGGAGCGAACGGG